rnacentral:rRNA from 1 species
UACGUAGGGUGCGAGCGUUGCCCGGAUUUAUUGGGCGUAAAGGGCGCGUAGGCGGCCACGCACGUCCGUUGUGAAAUCCCCGGGCUCAACCUGGGAACUGCAUUUGUGACUGCAUGGCUAGAGUACGGUAGAGGGGGAUGGAAUUCCGCGUGUAGCAGUGAAAUGCGUAGAUAUGCGGAGGAACACGAAGGGCGAAGGCAAUCCCCUGGACCGGUACUGACGCUAAGGCACGAAAGCGUGGGAGCAAACAGG